GCCCCUAUUCCCAUCUAUAAUGUAUCAAGAACAUCAACGAUAGAUAUGGUGUCAUUAGAGUAAAUCUGAUUACACCACCACCAAAGGAUAUGGUACAGCGGAUGGGGUUGCUCCUCCUUUAACCAGAGAUCUCGAGUUCGAGUCCAGGAAUGGAAAAAAUCCUUGGCAGGGAGGGCUUCCCUGAAUUGGCCCUAUGCAGCACAAAUCUGGAUUAGUCGAGCUACAAUGCAGGUACCGGACACCACAUGGGAAGCAAACAAAAAAACUGAUUACACCACCUUGAAGUUGAUGCCUGUUUGCAAAGGGCCUUUUGCCUCUCACCUUCUUUACUCAUUCGCCCAUCAAUCCCGGCGCAUAAACCACACAGCAUUAAACCCGCCCUGCAUUAGGUGAAAAAAAAAUUAAAAAGAAGAAUGAUUUAACAAAAAAAUUGAACUAUGUGUCAUGCUUAUAGAAUUACUGUUGAUAAUUUUGAACUUUAUGCGAUAAUUUUCUCCUUGUUUCUUUUUGAACCAUGAUAACCAAGGCUUAGCUGGGUAUUCCAAGUCUUGGAUAAGGUUUUCGGGAUGAAAAGGUUUUAAGUUUAAUUUUCAUCAAAUUAUAAUGAUUUUGCAUCCAACUUUAUGCCCUUAUAUUCUUUAUUAUUAGCAUGUACGAGUGUGAUAAAUUGCAUCAUUUUGUGAAUUAAGAAUGAUAUUGCAGCUGAUUCAAUUGGAAGAAUAUCAACAGACAACAAUAGUUGUAAUAGAUACAACUCAAUUCCAAAACUCCACAUAUGUGACUUCAAAACUCGACAAAAUCAAACUUGACAUUGCUUGUCACUUAGUAAAAUUGAAAAAAGAGGAUUAACGUUCACUCAGGUAAACAUGUCAAUUAUAUAUUUUGAAACGAAAUAAGUGUGGCAUUCUUUUCAAAGGUAUGACGACCACGCUGAAAAAAUCACCUAUUUACGAACGGAGUAGAGAAGGGGGAAAACAACUCUUGCUAAAAUAACUCCAAAGCUUAUACAGCUACUAGUAUUAUUGAAAAUACACUACACCGAAGUUAUUUUAGCAAGUGUUGUCUCCACUUCCCCAAUUUCCGAGAUAGCGCAGACGUGUGUGCAGUGUACUGUGUACUCUCUGGC
rnacentral:lncRNA from 1 species